GGAGAGUUGUCUGAGUGGUCUAAAGAUCCUCUUUGCUAAAGAGGCGUACUAGCGAUGGUACCAUUGGUUCGAAUCCAAUACUCUCCUCCA
rnacentral:tRNA from 1 species